GUCUCCGUUGGUGAACCAGCGGAGGGAUCAUUACUGA
rnacentral:rRNA from 2 species